rnacentral:rRNA from 1 species
UCCACGCCGUAAACGAUGUCGACUUGGAGGUUGUGCCCUUGAGGCGUGGCUUCCGGAGCUAACGCGUUAAGUCGACCGCCUGGGGAGUACGGCCGCAAGGUUAAAACUCAAAUGAAUUGACGGGGGCCCGCACAAGCGGUGGAGCAUGUGGUUUAAUUCGAUGCAACGCGAAGAACCUUACCUGGUCUUGACAUCCACGGAAGUUUUCAGAGAUGAGAAUGUGCCUUCGGGAACCGUGAGACAGGUGCUGCAUGGCUGUCGUCAGCUCGUGUUGUGAAAUGUUGGGUUAAGUCCCGCAACGAGCGCAACCCUUAUCCUUUGUUGCCAGCGGUCCGGCCGGGAACUCAAAGGAGACUGCCAGUGAUAAACUGGAGGAAGGUGGGGAUGACGUCAAGUCAUCAUGGCCCUUACGACCAGGGCUACACACGUGCUACAAUGGCGCAUACAAAGAGAAGCGACCUCGCGAGAGCAAGCGGACCUCAUAAAGUGCGUCGUAGUCCGGAUUGGAGUCUGCAACUCGACUCCAUGAAGUCGGAAUCGCUAGUAAUCGUGGAUCAGAAUGCCACGGUGAAUACGUUCCCGGGCCUUGUACACACCGCCCGUCACACCAUGGGAGUGGGUUGCAAAAGAAGUAGGUAGCUUAACCUUCGGGAGGGCGCUUACCACUUUGUGAUUCAUGACUGGGG